rnacentral:rRNA from 1 species
AUUGAACGCUGGCGGAAUGCUUUACACAUGCAAGUCGAACGGCAGCACGGACUUCGGUCUGGUGGCGAGUGGCGAACGGGUGAGUAAUGUAUCGGAACGUGCCCAGUCGUGGGGGAUAACGUAGUGAAAAUUACGCUAAUACCGCAUACGAUCUAUGGAUGAAGACGGGGGAUCGCAAGACCUCGGCACAUUGGAGCGGCCGAUAGCAGAUGAGGUAGUUGGUGGGGUAAAGGCCCACCAAGCCAACGAUCUGUAGCUGGUCUGAGAGGACGACCAGCCACACUGGAACUGAGACACGGUCCAGACUCCUACGGGAGGCAGCAGUGGGGAAUUUUGGACAAUGGGCGAAAGCCUGAUCCAGCCAUUCCGCGUGCAGGAUGAAGGCCCUCGGGUUGUAAACUGCUUUUGUACAGAACGAAAAGGUUUCUACUAAUACUAGGAGCUCAUGACGGUACUGUAAGAAUAAGCACCGGCUAACUACGUGCCAGCCGCCGCGGUAA